rnacentral:rRNA from 1 species
CGUAUCACCCAAGACAACUUUACGGAGUUGACGAUUGACGGAGCGAAGCGACGUCAAAGCGUUCAUUAAAGUCGAGUUGGCUUAGGGAUACGUUCGUUGGGUAGGGGAGCGUUCUGUAAGCCUGUGAAGGUGUGUCGUGAGGCAUGCUGGAGGUAUCAGAAGUGCGAAUGCUGACAUAAGUAACGAUAAAGCGGGUGAAAAGCCCGCUCGCCGGAAGACCAAGGGUUCCUGUCCAACGUUAAUCGGGGCAGGGUGAGUCGACCCCUAAGGCGAGGCCGAAAGGCGUAGUCGAUGGGAAACGGGUUAAUAUUCCCGUACUUGGUGUUACUGCGAAGGGGGGACGGAGAAGGCUAUGUUGGCCGGGCGACGGUUGUCCCGGUUUAAGCGUGUAGGUGUGUGUUCCAGGUAAAUCCGGUUCACUUUAACACUGAGGCGUGACGACGAGGCACUACGGUGCUGAAGCAACAAAUGCCCUGCUUCCAGGAAAAGCCUCUAAGCAUCAGGUAACAUCAAAUCGUACCCCAAACCGACACAGGUGGUCAGGUAGAGAAUACCAAGGCGCUUGAGAGAACUCGGGUGAAGGAACUAGGCAAAAUGGUGCCGUAACUUCGGGAGAAGGCACGCUGACACGUAGGUGAAGUGAUUUACUCAUGGAGCUGAAGUCAGUCGAA